UACGGAGGGUGCGAGCGUUAAUCGGAAUUACUGGGCGUAAAGCGCGCGUAGGCGGUCUGAUCAGCCGGUUGUGAAAGCCCCGGGCUCAACCUGGGAACGGCAUCCGGAACUGUCAGGCUAGAGUGCAGGAGAGGAAGGUAGAAUUCCCGGUGUAGCGGUGAAAUGCGUAGAGAUCAGGAGGAAUACCGAAGGCGAAGGCAGUCUUCCAAGCCGUUAUUGACGCUCAACUGCGAAGGUGUGGGUAUCAAACAGGAUUAGAUACCCUGGUAGU
rnacentral:rRNA from 1 species